rnacentral:rRNA from 1 species
GGCUCAGGAUGAACGCUAGCUACAGGCUUAACACAUGCAAGUCGAGGGGCAGCAUGAAGUUGCUGCAACUUGAUGGCGACCGGCGCACGGGUGAGUAACGCGUAUCCAACCGUGGCCCUUAGUAGGGGAUAGCCCGGCGAAAGUCGGAUUAAUACCCUAUGUUUUCCUAUGAGGACAUCUGAGCAGGAACAAAGAUUUAUCGCUAAGGGAUGGGGAUGCGUCUGAUUAGCUUGUCGGCGGGGUAACGGCCCACCGAGGCGACGAUCAGUAGGGGUUCUGAGAGGAAGGUCCCCCCACAUUGGUACUGAGACACGGACCAAACUCCUACGGGAGGCAGCAGUGAGGAAUAUUGGUCAAUGGGCGAGAGCCUGAACCAGCCAAGUAGCGUGCAGGAUGAACCUGCCCUAUGGGUUGUAAACUGCUUUUAUGCGGGAAUAAAGUGCAUCACGUGUGGUGUUUUGUAUGUACCGCAUGAAUAAGGACCGGCUAAUUCCGUGCCAGCCGCUGC